GUGGGAUUAGCUAGUUGGUGAGGUAAUGGCUCACCAAGGCGACGAUCCCUAGCUGUUCUGAGAGGAUGAUCAGCCACACUGGGACUGAGACACGGCCCAGACUCCUACGGGAGGCAGCAGUGGGGAAUAUUGCACAAUGGGGGAAACCCUGAUGCAGCCAUGCCGCGUGUGUGAAGAAGGCCUUCGGGUUGUAAAGCACUUUCAGUAGGGAGGAAAGGGUGUGGUUUAAUACGCUAUAUCUGUGACGUUACCUACAGAAGAAGGACCGGCUAACUCCGUGCCAGCAGCCGCGGUAAUACGGAGGGUCCGAGCGUUAAUCGGAAUUACUGGGCGUAAAGCGUGCGCAGGCGGUUUGUUAAGCGAGAUGUGAAAGCCCUGGGCUCAACCUAGGAAUAGCAUUUCGAACUGGCGAACUAGAGUCUUGUAGAGGGGGGUAGAAUUCCAGGUGUAGCGGUGAAAUGCGUAGAGAUCUGGAGGAAUACCGGUGGCGAAGGCGGCCCCCUGGACAAAGACUGACGCUCAUGCACGAAAGCGUGGGAAGCAAACAGGAUUAGAUACCCUGGUAGUCCACGCCGCAAACGAUGUC
rnacentral:rRNA from 1 species